rnacentral:rRNA from 1 species
CAGUCGCCGCGGUAAUUCAGAGGAUGCAAGCGUUAUCCGGAAUGAUUGGGCGUAAAGCGUCUGUAGGUGGCUUUUCAAGUCCGCCGUCAAAUCCCAGGGCUCAACCCUGGACAGGCGGUGGAAACUACCAAGCUGGAGUACGGUAGGGGCAGAGGGAAUUUCCGGUGGAGCGGUGAAAUGCGUCGAGAUCGGAAAGAACACUAACGGCGAAAGCACUCUGCUGGGCCGACACUGACACUGAGAGACGAAAGCUAGGGGAGCAAAUGGGAUUAGAUACCCCCGUAGUCCCUGUCUCUUAUAA